rnacentral:rRNA from 1 species
GAUGAACGCUGGCGGCGUGCUUAACACAUGCAAGUCGAGCGAAGCGCUCCUGUUUCUUCGGAAAGGGGAGUGACUGAGCGGCGGACGGGUGAGUAACGCGUGGGUAACCUGCCUCAUACAGGGGGAUAACAGCUAGAAAUGGCUGCUAAUACCGCAUAAGCGCACAGGACCGCAGGGUCUGGUGUGAAAAACUCCGGUGGUAUGAGAUGGACCCGCGUCUGAUUAGCUGGUUGGCGGGGUAACGGCCCACCAAGGCGACGAUCAGUAGCCGGCCUGAGAGGGCGACCGGCCACAUUGGGACUGAGACACGGCCCAGACUCCUACGGGAGGCAGCAGUGGGGAAUAUUGCACAAUGGGGGAAACCCUGAUGCAGCGACGCCGCGUGAAGGAAGAAGUAUCUCGGUAUGUAAACUUCUAUCAGCAGGGAAGAAAAUGACGGUACCUGACUAAGAAGCCCCGGCUAACUACGUGCCAGCAGCCGCCGUAAAAC